UACGUAGGGUGCAAGCGUUGUCCGGAAUUAUUGGGCGUAAAGAGCUCGUAGGCGGUUUGUCGCGUCUGCUGUGAAAACGCGAGGCUCAACCUCGCGCCUGCAGUGGGUACGGGCAGACUAGAGUGCGGUAGGGGAGAUUGGAAUUCCUGGUGUAGCGGUGGAAUGCGCAGAUAUCAGGAGGAACACCGGUGGCGAAGGCGGGUCUCUGGGCAGUAACUGACGCUGAGGAGCGAAAGUGUGGGGAGCGAACAGG
rnacentral:rRNA from 1 species